CAACGUGGGCAACCUGCCUCAUAGAGGGGAAUAGCCUUCCGAAAGGGAGAUUAAUACCGCAUAAGAUUGUAGCUUCGCAUGAAGUAGCAAUUAAAGGAGCAAUCCGCUAUGAGAUGGGCCCGCGGCGCAUUAGCUAGUUGGUGAGGUAACGGCUCACCAAGGCGACGAUGCGUAGCCGACCUGAGAGGGUGAUCGGCCACAUUGGGACUGAGACACGGCCCANACUCCUACGGAAGGCAGCAG
rnacentral:rRNA from 1 species